GACGAACGCUGGCGGCGUGCCUAACACAUGCAAGUCGAGCGAGAAUCUUAUGAAUGAUCCUUCGGGUGAAUGAUUAAGAGGAGAGCGGCGGACGGGUGAGUAACGCGUGAGUAAUCUGCCUUAAGGAGGGGGAUAACACAGAGAAAUCUGUGCUAAUACCGCAUAACAUAUCUUUACCGCAUGAUAGAGAUAUCAAAACUGAGGUGCCUUAAGAUGAGCUCGGGUCCGAUUAACUAGUUGGUGGGGUAAUGGCCCACCAAGGUUACGAUCGGUAGCCGGACGGGGAGGUUGAACGGCAACAUUGGAACUAAGAUACGGUCCAGACUCCUACGGGAGGAAGCAGUGGGGUAUAUUGCGCAAUGGGGGAAACCCUGACGCAGCAACGCCGCGUGAAGGAAGAAGGUCUUCGGAUUGUAAACUUUUGUCUUUUGGGAAGAUAAUGACGGUACCAAAGGAGGAAGCCACGGCUAACUACGUGCCAGCCGCCGCAGUAACA
rnacentral:rRNA from 1 species